rnacentral:rRNA from 1 species
UACAGAGGUCUCGAGCGUUGUUCGGAUUCAUUGGGCGUAAAGGGUGCGUAGGCGGCGGGGUAAGUCUGAUGUGAAAUCCCGGGGCUCAACCCCUGGAACUGCAUUGGAUACUGCCUUGCUAGAGAGCUGGAGAGGAAACUGGAAUUUACGGUGUAGCAGUGAAAUGCGUAGAGAUCGUAAGGAAGACCAGUGGCGAAGGCGAGUUUCUGGACAGCUACUGACGCUGAGGCACGAAGGCCAGGGGAGCAAACGGG